rnacentral:rRNA from 1 species
GGAUUGCCCUAGUAACGGCGAGUGAAGCGGCAACAGCUCAAAUUUGAAAUCUGGCCCCCUCUCGGGGGCCCGAGUUGUAAUUUGAAGAGGAUGCUUUUGGCGAGGCGCCUUCCGAGUGCCCUGGAACGGGACGCCACAGAGGGUGAGAGCCCCGUAUGGUAGGACGCCGAGCCUCUGUAAAGCUCCUUCGACGAGUCGAGUAGUUUGGGAAUGCUGCUCAAAAUGGGAGGUAAACCCCUUCUAAAGCUAAAUACUGGCCAGAGACCGAUAGCGCACAAGUAGAGUGAUCGAAAGAUGAAAAGCACUUUGAAAAGAGAGUUAAACAGCACGUGAAAUUGUUGAAAGGGAAGCGCUUGCGACCAGACUCGCGCCCGCCGGAUCAGCCGUCGCUCGUCGUCGGCGCACUCCGGCGGGCUCGGGCCAGCAUCGGUUCGCCCCGGGGGGAGAAAGGCGGCGGGAACGUGGCUCUGCGGAGUGUUAUAGCCCGCCGCGCAAUACCCUCGGGCGGACCGAGGACCGCGCGUAUGCAAGGAUGCUGGCGUAAUGGUCGUCAGCGACCCGUCUUGAAACACGGACCAAGGAGUCGUCCUAGUAUGCGAGUGUUCGGGUGUCAAACCCCUGCGCGUAAUGAAAGUGAACGGAGGUGAGAGCUUCGGCGCAUCAUCGACCGAUCCUGAUGUUCUCGGAUGGAUUUGAGUAAGAGCAUACUGGGCCGGACCCGAAAGAAGGUGAACUAUGCCUGUAUAGGGUAAAGCCAGAGGAAACUCUGGUGGAGGCUCGCAGCGGUUCUGACGUGCAAAUCGAUCGUCAAAUAUGGGCAUGGGGGCGAAAGACUAAUCGAACCUUCUAGUA